rnacentral:RNase_P_RNA from 1 species
CUUGAGAAGGGAAAGGAAAGUCCGGACACCAUAGGGCAGGAUUCCUGGUGAAAACUAGGGUAUUUAGGAUGUAAAUCCCAAGUAACGGAAAGUGUCGCAGAAAAAAUACCGCCAGGCCGGCAUAUUACGACAGUGUCGUGGAGGUCAGGUAAGGGUGAAAUGGCGAGGUAAGAGCUCACCGCCCUGAGGGCAACUGAGGGGGCAGGAUAAACCCAAUCCGGUGCAAGACAGAAUAGGAGAUAAGGUAGCCCACCUAACGAAGUCUCGGGUAUGUCGCAUCUCGAUUCGUCGAGAAUCGUUGUAACUCAUCGAUAGAUAAAUAAAUGCGUCCUAUUUCCCGGCAACUAAUAAUUGUCGAGUUAGGGUAACAGAAUCCGGCUUAUUCC